rnacentral:ncRNA from 1 species
CACGUCGCAAUAGUAAUUCAACCUAGUACGAGAGGAACUGUUGAUUCGCACAAUUGGUCAUCGUGCUUGGUUGAAAAGCCAGUGGUGCGAAGCUACCGUGCGCUGGAUUAUGACUGAACGCCUCUAAGUUAGAAUCCAGGCCAAAAGUAACGCACGCGCCCGUAGCCUGAUUGCCGACCCGCAGUAGGGGCCUUUGGCCCCCAAAGGCACGUGUCAUAAGUGCAGCCACCGCGGCGGACAAGUCGCCGGUGCCUCCUUAGAGCAUAAUUCCCAUCGAGCGGCGGGUAGAAUCCUUUGCAGACGACUUAAAUACGCGACAGGGUGUUGUAAGUGGCAGAGUGGCCUUGCUACCACGAUCCACUGAGAUUCAACCCUUUGUCGCUUCGAUUC